CAGAGCUGAGCAGAACUUCCCAAGCAAACAGCCUUGCUCCACGGCACCGUUGUUUCCUGAGCUUUGGGAUUCACUCCUUUGCUGAAUGUCUGAUCCUGGGACUUGUUUGGAACUCCUCUUCCACUGUGCAGCCUCCUACUUGGGAUCUGUUCAUCUACAUACAGUGCUCUGCAGAGAAAAGGCUCUUUCCUGAUAACACCCUGAUGAACAUCCGUUUAGGCAAAGCCUGAAUCAUGGCAUCCUCUCAGCACCUCGCAGCAGGGCAACACAGUGACAUGAGAAGGCUGCAGCCUCACCUCACCGUGCUGCUUCAUGAGAUUCCCAGCAACGUUAACCUUUACCAUAACUGGGCACACUUACCAUGUUUUCACUUGAAUGAAACCAAAGUCUCUGAAGAGAAAGAACUCAGGGAAGAGCUCACACCACCCAGCGCCUCUUUGUCUCUAGAACCAUCCCAGUGGUUCCCAUCAGCCCAGCCUGCUGAUGCCUGCAAGCUGCUGGAGUACUUCCCUCUCAGGUGCUCCAUAUAUGAAUGACUGCAAGCUCCAGCUUCACCUUCCUUUCCUUCUCUGCUUGUGCAUUCCACACCCUGCACAGAGGCUGGGUGAAAUCAAGCUCACUUAAGAGGCUCCCUUGAAUAUCCACUGCUUCCUUCAGAGUUUUGUUUUCCCCACCUGUUCCUCUGUUUCUACUUCUUAUAUUCCUCCCGUCUUCAGCACAAGAGCCUCGCAGUUUGAUAACAUUAUCUUGUUAAUUCAUCCAAUUGAAGCUUCAGGAAUGCUUAAAUAACUUUGGAGUUAUUAAAUAGAUUCACAGAAUUCUAAAUACUCUUUCAGACACAGAGGAAAUAAAGUUCUUCCCAGAAGAGAAACUUCUUGGAGUAAUUCUAUUGCAGCAAAACAUGGGAAGGUUUUUUUAAUGCUGAGUCCCACCACAAAAGGCUGGCAACGAUAAUGGGACAUCCUGCAGCACUUAGAGAGAGCUUGUCUCAGGAAUAGCAGUUUUGAACCAAAUCCUGCUCACACAGCACCAUGAGAAACACGCUUUUACUAUGAUUGCAGUCAAAAACCAAGGUUCUGCAUCUGCACCAUUAAGCGAAGCCAUGGUCAAGAAGAAACUGAAAGGAAAAAAUAUAAAAGUUUUCUUCUUUUCUCUUAUCUGGAAAGCCAUAGCAAUUUAAUUUUUGUUCUGGAAAACUUGAGAAGUCAGUUCAUGUGACAUAUCUACAACACAAUCCACAACCACCAAGCAUUCAAAUAAAAUACCACAGUGCAGUGAACAGCCGUGACACUUCUUUCAAAUAUCUACCAUCUAACAGCAAAUGCCAAGUAUACUGCUUUGUAAAAUAAUAGGGAACAUAAAAUGGAAAGAGAAAACUGAACUCAGGAAAAGGAACAGAUAAAAAUCCUGCUUUUGAGAAUGAAGCCAAGUAAUAACAUCCCACCCUGGCCCCCGUACAGGAUCGGGAGAGGUUGCUUCCCUUGGCAAACUGAGAAAUCACACUUCUUCCAGCUUCUAGUUACACUCUAAACAAUGAGUGCUUUGGGGCAGACUUUGUUUUUGAGAGCUCAGAUCAGCUAUCCUGACACUGGAUUUACAUACAACCCACUGGUGAACAAGAACUGACCCUUAAUGGAUUUGGGGAACGUGUCCCUCGGAGUCCUUCCACGCACUGUUAAUAACUGCAAUUUUGGAUGACUUUUCUCCACUGCAUGAGAGUGUUUACAUCACUAAAAAAGAGAAGAAACAAACAAUUAGUGGUUUUAUAAGUCUUACCAUGAUUUUUCUAGGAAAUAAGAAAGCAAACAGAUUCAUCAGAGGUGAGCAGGGCCAAACAUUCUCACAUCCAACCCCUGCUCUGCUAUGUGACGUGGAGGAGGGCUGCGAUCAGCAAACCUAAAGCAUUCAUGUUUCCUUCUCCCCCUCUUGCAGCCAAGCUGCAGACAGACACAAGGCUCGUCUCAUCCUGGAGCCAGGAUCGUAUUUUUUCUCUUUAAAGAAGGAAGGAACAUUUGCAAUGACAUUUUCUUCUGUGCCAUUAAAUUUCAUAAAAGGUGGCACUGUCCCUGGCCACCCCUCGGCUGGAGGUGUAACUCAGUCACCAAAGGUGCCUCGAUGUGACUCAGGGUGGAGGUAUUUUCCCCCUAGAAUCUACACUUGCAAGUUCUCCCCUUAAAGGCAGCCUGUUACUAUGCCUUGCUCCACUCCUCUCAGAGAGCAGCAAUCAGAUUGUUUGCAGUGCAUUAGCAUACUCGAAUAGAUCUGUCAUGGUUAUUAAAAAUAUUACAGAGGCCAAAUAUUUUGACUGAAAAAGCAAAAGACAUUGCCAGCAUCCCGAGAUCCCUAUCUGCUGUAAGCUUUGUGAUGAACUGGCACAAAAUAAA